UAGUGGCGAACGGGUGAGUAACACGUGGGCAAUCUGCCCUUCACUCUGGGACAAGCCCUGGAAACGGGGUCUAAUACCGGAUAACACUCCUGCCUGCAUGGGCGGGGGUUAAAAGCUCCGGCGGUGAAGGAUGAGCCCGCGGCCUAUCAGCUUGUUGGUGGGGUAAUGGCCCACCAAGGCGACGACGGGUAGCCGGCCUGAGAGGGCGACCGGCCACACUGGGACUGAGACACGGCCCAGACUCCUACGGGAGGCAGCAGUGGGGAAUAUUGCACAAUGGGCGAAAGCCUGAUGCAGCGACGCCGCGUGAGGGAUGACGGCCUUCGGGUUGUAAACCUCUUUCAGCAGGGAAGAAGCGAAAGUGACGGUACCUGCAGAAGAAGCGCCGGCUAACUACGUGCCAGCAGCCGCGGUAAUACGUAGGGCGCAAGCGUUGUCCGGAAUUAUUGGGCGUAAAGAGCUCGUAGGCGGCUUGUCACGUCGGAUGUGAAAGCCCGAGGC
rnacentral:rRNA from 1 species